rnacentral:rRNA from 1 species
AGAGUUUGAUCCUGGCUCAGAUUGAACGCUGGCGGCAUGCCUUACACAUGCAAGUCGAACGGCAGCACGGAGCUUGCUCUGGUGGCGAGUGGCGAACGGGUGAGUAAUAUAUCGGAACGUACCCUAGAGUGGGGGAUAACGUAGCGAAAGUUACGCUAAUACCGCAUACGAUCUAAGGAUGAAAGUGGGGGAUCGCAAGACCUCAUGCUCGUGGAGCGGCCGAUAUCUGAUUAGCUAGUUGGUAGGGUAAAAGCCUACCAAGGCAUCGAUCAGUAGCUGGUCUGAGAGGACGACCAGCCACACUGGAACUGAGACACGGUCCAGACUCCUACGGGAGGCAGCAGUGGGGAAUUUUGGACAAUGGGCGAAAGCCUGAUCCAGCAAUGCCGCGUGAGUGAAGAAGGCCUUCGGGUUGUAAAGCUCUUUUGUCAGGGAAGAAACGGUGAGAGCUAAUAUCUUUUGCUAAUGACGGUACCUGAAGAAUAAGCACCGGCUAACUACGUGCCAGCAGCCGCGGUAAUACGUAGGGUGCAAGCGUUAAUCGGAAUUACUGGGCGUAAAGCGUGCGCAGGCGGUUUUGUAAGUCUGAUGUGAAAUCCCCGGGCUCAACCUGGGAAUUGCAUUGGAGACUGCAAGGCUAGAAUCUGGCAGAGGGGGGUAGAAUUCCACGUGUAGCAGUGAAAUGCGUAGAUAUGUGGAGGAACACCGAUGGCGAAGGCAGCCCCCUGGGUCAAGAUUGACGCUCAUGCACGAAAGCGUGGGGAGCAAACAGGAUUAGAUACCCUGGUAGUCCACGCCCUAAACGAUGUCUACUAGUUGUCGGGUCUUAAUUGACUUGGUAACGCAGCUAACGCGUGAAGUAGACCGCCUGGGGAGUACGGUCGCAAGAU